GACGAACGCUGGCGGCGUGCCUAAUACAUGCAAGUAGGACGCAGUUGCGAACGGGUGAGUAACGCGUAGGUAACUACCUAUUAGAGGGGGAUAACUAUUGGAAACGAUAGCUAAUACCGCAUACUAGUAGAUGGACCUGCGUUGUAUUAGCUAGUAGGUAGGGUAAUGGCCUACCUAGGAAACGAUACAUAGCCGACGUGGGAGGGAGAUCCGCCACCCUGGGAAUGGGACACGGCCCAGAACCCUUCGGGGGGCAGCAGUAGGGGAUCUUCGGCAAUGGGGGGAACCCUGACCGAGCAACGCCGCGGGAGUGAAGAAGGUUUUCGGAUCGUAAAGCUCCGUUGUUAAGGAAGCGGUACUUAACCAGAAAGGGACGGCUAACUACGUGCCAGCAGCCGCGGUAAUUC
rnacentral:rRNA from 1 species